GUAGGUGAACCUGCGGAAGGAUCAUUAACACUAAUCCAAACCAACUCAACCAUGCCAACGUGUUGCAAGCGAAAGCUCUGCAGCUACACACAAAUCUAACCAAAAGAACUGUAACUAAGCUAAACAAAAACCAAAUCCUCAACGAUGGAUAUCUAGGUUCCUACAACGAUGAAGAACGCAGCGAAGUGCGAAAAGCAAUGCGAAUUGCAGAUCCGUGAGUCAUCAGAUUUUUGAACGUAACUGGCUCCGCAGGGUAUCCCUUGCGGAAUGCUUCUUUCAGUGUGUAUUUUUCUCCUCACCCAAAGCAUAAUGUGGUAGAUGCCCUUCUACUACUAAGCGAGCAAGCACUCUGAGCUCUGCGGUGUCUCUUCGGGGACACACUCAAUGCAGCAGUCACAUUCUCCAAUGUGAACUCAUUGAGAGCAAGCCAGCGCAGCCUGUCUGCCAGUGCUUAGACACUCAAAUUUUCACAGCAUCUGAAAUGAAGUAGGACCACCCGCUGAACUUAAGCAUAUCAGUA
rnacentral:rRNA from 1 species